CAGUCCAUGGUGACAUGAUGAAGAAGGAAAUGGAGGCAAGUGCUCUGCUAGGGUCCAUGGCUUUGCAGUGAAGCUUAAUGUGGUCUCAAGGUGUAUUAGGUUUUCUACUCCUUCAGUGGAGCUUAUGAAGUUCUAAGACUGCUGCAGAAGGCUUCAUCUCGAAUUCAGAUCACUCUUCUCUUCCUAGCUUGGAAGAGAGAGAAAGAAAGAAAUAGUGAAAGAUAGAAAGGGACAGAGUGUUCUACUCCACCAUCUAAGUAUGUGAU